GGCGGGAGGUGGCAUCCUGGUACUGGUUACGGUGCUGGAAGGUGCCUCUUCCCGUGCCACGGGAUUGGGGGUAACUGUGGCCGGACAGGCGGCUCCUGAAUCUGCCGGCCCUGGUAGAGACCCGCCCCUGGAAUACUCGCCUCAUGGAGGCUUGGGCCUUGUCUAGAGCCGUGAAUGCUCCAACGAAGUGCCCUAAAUCUUUU